rnacentral:rRNA from 1 species
AUGAGUCUCCUGUGCUGGAACUGCCGCGGGGCUGGCAAACCCGCGACAGUUCGCGAGCUUCGUGACCUCACGAGGCAACUUGCCCCCUCUGUUGUAUGCAUUGUUGAAACUCAGAUAGAGGUCUCUUGAGUAGAGAAUAUGGUAGGAUCUUUAAAUUUCAAUAAAAGUUUUGCUGUAAGUAGCUCCGGUAGAAGCGGAGGCUUAGGGAUCUUUUGGAAUGAGGAAAUAAAGCUUGAAGUUAUUGGUUACUCUGAGUACCAUAUAGACGUGACUAUUGAUGAGCUUGUUGAUACUAAGGUAAGGGUCACUUUUGUGUAUGGAGAAGCACAAGCAAAUGAAUGCCACAAGACGUGGGAUAUGAUGAGAGGGAUAGUUGGUUCAAGCAAUCUGCCGUGGGUCGUCAUGGGAGAUUUUAAUGAGGUAUUAUGUGCUCAUGAACAUGAUGGUGUGGGGAACCGUAGCCAAGCACAAAUGGACACAUUCAGGGAUGCGCUGGACACGUGUGGUUUGACGGAUAUUGGUUUCAUUGGAAGAAAUUGGACUUUUGAGAAAAAGGUUACAUGA